GAUGAACGCUGGCGGCGUGCCUAAUACAUGCAAGUCGAGCGAACGGACGAGAAGCUUGCUUUUCUGAUGUUAGCGGCGGACGGGUGAGUAACACGUGGAUAACCUACCUAUAAGACUGGGAUAACUUCGGGAAACCGGAGCUAAUACCGGAUAAUAUUUUGAACCGCAUGGUUCAAAAGUGAAAGACGGUCUUGCUGUCACUUAUAGAUGGAUCCGCGCUGCAUUAGCUAGUUGGUAAGGUAACGGCUUACCAAGGCAACGAUGCAUAGCCGACCUGAGAGGGUGAUCGGCCACACUGGAACUGAGACACGGUCCAGACUCCUACGGGAGGCAGCAGUAGGGAAUCUUCCGCAAUGGGCGAAAGCCUGACGGAGCAAAGUCGCGUGAGUGAUGAAGGUCUUCGGAUCGUAAAACUCUGUUAUUAGGGAAGAACAUAUGUGUAAGUAACUGUGCACAUCUUGACGGUACCUAAUCAGAAAGCCACGGCUAACUACGUG
rnacentral:rRNA from 1 species